UGCGGAUAGAACCGUCAAGGUUCUCACGGUUUCGUGACCGUGAGCUAAGAGGGAAUUCGGUGAGGCCCGUGAGGGCGAGACCGAAGCUGCCCCCGCAACUGUGAGCGGCGAGCCGCUGCCGAGAAAGACCACUGGUGCUCCGCACUGGGAAGGUCAGGCAGAGGUGACGACCCGUGAGCCAGGAGACCUGCCUUGGCGUGGUUUUCGUCU
rnacentral:ncRNA from 1 species